GAACGCGAAGAACCUUACCUACCCUUGACAUGCCAGGAAUCCUGCAGAGAUGUGGGAGUGCUCGCAAGAGAGCCUGGACACAGGUGCUGCAUGGCUGUCGUCAGCUCGUGUCGUGAGAUGUUGGGUUAAGUCCCGCAACGAGCGCAACCCUUGCCAUUAGUUGCUACGAAAGGGCACUCUAAUGGGACUGCCGGUGACAAACCGGAGGAAGGUGGGGAUGACGUCAAGUCCUCAUGGCCCUUAUGGGUAGGCUACACACGUCAUACAAUGGCCGGUACAGAGGGCUGCCAACCCGCGAGGGGGAGCCAAUCCCGUAAAACCGGUCGUAGUCCGGAUUGCAGUCUGCAACUCGACUGCAUGAAGUCGGAAUCGCUAGUAAUCGCGGAUCAGCAUGUCGCGGUGAAUACGUUCCCGGGUCUUGUACACACC
rnacentral:rRNA from 1 species